rnacentral:misc_RNA from 1 species
GGCUGUUACUAAGUUCACUAGUUCAUAAAUUUAGGGUAUCUAAAGUUUCUUAUGGAUCUAUAUUGGGUGUUUAAGAAUUGGCCUAGUGGUGAUUAGGGAUCUAGGGUUUUUGGAUGUAAAUUGUGCAUGGAUUAAGGUUUUUUAUUGAAAUUUGAUUGGCUUUUUAAUUAAUGAAUUUUCUGGUUCCUAAUUUUCCUCUUAUUACUAGCUUUUGAUGCCUUUA